rnacentral:lncRNA from 1 species
UUUUUUUUUUUUUUUUUAUGUUGAGGCCUUUGGCUAUAUUGAGCGAACUCUUAAUACUUGUGUAAAUAAUAGUAAGCCAUUAGUUAGUUGAUUAUGAAAUUGUAUAAAUAAAAAUAUAUCAUUAGUUAGUUGAUCGUAUGGUCAAUUUUUUUUUUUUCUAAAUGAUAGAUUUUGAAUUUAAAAUCUCUUAUUUAAAAUCUUUUUAAUUUACCAUCUAACUCAACCUUUCGUAGGUCGUGAGACCACUUGUUCGACUUUCAAUUCUUCUAGUUUUUCCCUUCUCCAAGACUCAAUAUCUCCUUUGAAACAAACAAAAUAAAAAGAAAUUAUUUUGAAAAACUUGGUAGGUGUUGUAUCAGAGACUGUAAGCAGUAGGACGUUGCUCCCAUUUAAGAUGUGCACCAAUGAGUUGCAUGGUUUACAGGAUAUUAUGUCUACGUAAUUAAAUAUCUUUGAGCUCUACAAUCUUCAUAGGAAUAUUAUUGGCUUACCUUGUAUAUUAUUCUAAGUGCCCGUGCGAUCUUCAAAUUGAUAUAUAACCACCAAAAUCGAAUACAGCCCAGCAUUUAUUUCAGAACACGUUUCAAUCUUCAACUUUUCGGACAAAAUGAUCGAACCAGAAAGAGAAACAAGUUUCGACAACUAUGUCAUGAUACAGUAUGCUUUCAUUUCAUGCAUGUCUUGGUUAGUUCCCUGAUUGCAGAUUAAUGCAGACGAUUGAUCAAGUACAUACUUUAAAUGAAGCAAGUAUCUAUCAUGUUACUGCUAACUACCGCGGUAGAACUUCAUAACCUCAGACCAACAAUGAAUUUUAGAUUGAAUCAUGAGCCUUGAAAGAAUUCACCAAAAAAAUAAUGCAAAUGGUCAAGUUUUGGCGCAACUUCAUAGUUCGUAUACAUAUGAAGAGGGGAAAAAAACGGAAAUCUGGAAAUCUCCGCUCUGCUGUCUCUUAGACUAUAACAAAAACAAGAGAAAUUUCCAAUUUCCAAAUUCGUGUAUAUACAGAUCUCCACUAAUGAAAAAAAACCAGACAAUUAGUUUCCAAGUGGUCAGAUGAUGGAUAUCCCAUGCACUAAACUAGUUAGCUUAAGUAACCGGUGGUGCCCAUCAUCCAUGUUAUAGUAAACCUUAAUCCACCUCUACAUACGACAAGAAACUCCAUCUUGCAUCAUCAGCUCCCUUAAUUAUCUGAUCAUGGAAAAUAGAGAGCAAAAAACUUCUUCAUCACAAGGAAUGGUGAGGCCCAUCUCAUGGUUGAAGCCAAACUCUUCUUCAGCUCGUUGUAACAAGCUCUGGAAUUCCGGGUGUUCCAACCAAGAAAUGGGGAUGAUGUAUCUGGUCCUAUUUUGACCAACAUAUACUGCAAAAUGGCCUUUUGGGACAUCAUGUGGAAGGCUAUUGUCGUGAUCAUGACCAGUAUUCUUCCUUCCAAAACUUGAACACUUUUUGAGGAUUUGUUUGAGGGCCGCCGUUUGAGUAGCGGCAUGUUUUGUUCCUUUCUUAAGAGCCAUGUUUAUGGACUUUAGAAGAAAAAGGCUCAGCCAGGCAAAGAAGAGAUAGAAAUUGUAUGUAUUAAGAGAAUGAAGGAUUCGAAGGAGGUGGGGAUGAAUUGAGGAGAAUGUGGAGGAGUAGUAGUUGUAUUUAUGGGGAAAAAGAAGAAGACAGGGAGUGAUUAUCUGCGAAACAAAGACAUGUGGAGUGUGGGGGCAACAAACUAACAGGGCUUAGAUGUUCUUAUUUGAGAAGUCUUGUUCAAGGCCAUGCAACCUCAUUCCCCAUUUGGCCUUUUCCCUUUUUCUUGUUACCCCUCCCAUAGACAAAGUGGACCACUAUACUCUAUGCUCUAUACCAUAAACUCCAAUCUCCGUUCAUCCUAUGUGUGUAUUUGUGUUUUGGACAGUGUGAUUGUGCGUGAAAUCCCCAUUUGAUUAAUGAUUGAUCGAGAGAAUUAGGAUAUGGUACGUUAUACUCAUGCACACGGUACUUAAGUUGUAAGGUCGCCAAAAGGUCACGCAAUGACAAUUCAACCAUCUUAUUAGUUUAAUCAGGGUGGGAGUCUGUUGUCUGGCACGUUUAAGGCAUGUAAAACCAAUGCUUUUGAGUUUCGCCAUCCAUGUUCGUUAUCGAUACUUGGCAUUAACAACCUCGGUUUCCAGUUCCACCUUCGGAACUGCUAGGUGGCACGGAAUUGAAACUGACGAAUCAUCCCAUGGCCUACACUAGUUUCUUGGCUUCUUGCUGGUAGUAAAACUUCAUUCUCAGUUCCCUCAUAUUUUCAAGUUCAAUGUUUUUCUUCUUUUUUUUUUCCCCAAGUCAGAGGUUAGAUGUAUCGGAAGCAUUAAUCGUUUCUGGCUACUUCUGUGGCCAAGGAAGGAGAUUGCAGUCUCUGUCUGUCCCAGUAGAAUUUACAUAUGAUAUGGGCUGCUCUUUUGUAGCAUUUCGCAUGAUCAUGACAUUGGUUAGUUUCCAAGGUACAACUUCUUGUGAGCUCAAUAUGGAUUCAUGAACGAAUCAAGACUGAUCAUUCAAGGAUGGAUGAAUGGCAGCUGUCUAUUGUGAAUGAUCAUCUUAUUAAGUACAAGAAAGGGAUGCCUUCGUCCUUUCUCCGAACAAAACAAAUGGCAGUGUAGCUACAUGUUUCAGCAAAAGAUCAAGGACAACUCAUUCUACUAUUCAUUUGCACGUAAAUCCAGGACCACUGUUCUUUCAGUGAAAAAAGAAAAAAAAAAAAAAAAAGGUAAAAGAACCAAUCAUGUAUGUACCUAGAGACCGUUUGAUCAUUUUAAAUUUACUCGUUUAUUUUGAGUUGAGGUUUAGGCCCUCUAUAGAUUAUAGAAAGGAAGAGUCUUCUUCUGUACCACGGAAGGUAGAUGCUUGAAAAUAUUAGCUAGGUUGAUGAACAGAAUGCGAUCACCUUGGCAUAAUUUUUUUUUUUUUUUUUGAGAGCAAAAAAUCAAGUUUACUCUCGAAAAAUGGAGGAUUAGGGAAAUGUACAUUGAAAAAAAAAAAAAAAAAAAAGGGUACGUGAGUUUUUGUGUUUUUUUUUUGGUUCAAAUGUAUGCAUGCCCUAAGUCCUAACCCUUUAUUAUUAUUAUUUUUUAAGGAAACAAGAUCAAUAUUAAUAAGUUCAACGGGCAACCAUUAAUUUGGGUCCCCAAUCCCAAUCCGGAGUAGUAGCAUUCAAAACUAAGGCGACAAACAGCAGUUGUUUUGAAUGAAUGUACUAAGAAAGUAGCUUAUAGCGACUUGCAUCCUGUCCCUGGUUUCGGCUGUUUUGUCCUCCAUUUCCAAACGUGGGGUCUACGGAAAACAUUAAUUUAAUUAUAUCAGUACUACGUACGCAAGUUCGCAAUGCAAACGUACAUAACAUGGUGCUUCUGUCUAUCUCAGUCUCUAUCGAUGAAUGUCCUUGCGUACUACUGUGCAAGGUUGGUUGUUAAGGAAAUGAUGCAUAGCAAUUAGUAGUCUAGUGUGUUUAGAAAAAAUUGCAGCUGAUCUAUUGUUAAGAGAAGGACCAUUUACAAGCAUGAUUGGAUUGGACGCUUCAUUUUGGCGAAGCAUUCUGCUGGUGACCAUUCAACAGUGCCAUUUAUAGCUCCAGUUAGAAAUCUCCCUCCUCCUAAUUUUGACUACUUGCACUCGAACAAGCAAAUACAGGUUGGUUGGUUGGUACUAUAUACUUACUGCUCCAUCAAUUAUGUUUCAACAAGAAGAACCUCCCAUGUGAGCAGAAACAAGAAUGAGAUGUUAGCAGAUAUGGAUCCAUAAUUUAUAUAUAUAUAUAUAUAUAUAUAUAUAUAUAUAUAUAUAUAUAUAUAUAUAUAUAUAUAUAUAUAAAAAGAAGAAGUGAUUUCCAUGUUCUGAGGUCAACAGCUUUGCCCUGUUUCGGUUACAAUCAACAAAAGAAUUCGCCCUCUGCCUAGCCUGAUGCAACGAAGCAUCAGGGUUGUUCAUCCAUGCUCCAUACCAAAUUCCUCUGAUAGUCUUUUCAAGCCAAAACAAAAGGCAAGGGAAAGUUUUGAGGAGAUUAUUAAGGUCAGAAUAAAAUGCAAUGGAUUCCUCCUCCCUCUAUGAACUUAUCCGAGUCUGAUAGGUAUGUGACCUGUCGUCCUCUUUCAGACCACGACCGCAUGAAAGAAAACUGGAGAAGAAUGUAUUGAUUGAGAAUGAUGGGUCAGUCAAGUUGUAAUAAUCACAACCAUGGCUGGCUUUUCCCAUGUUCUGUGAAUGGGAUUGGGUAACAGAUAUAAGAGGAUGGUGAGGCAUCCGUGAGCAAAUCAUCUUGUCAAACUCAAAUAGAGGGGGAAUGCCCUGAGGGUACUCCUAAUAAACAAAGAGCAGAGUUUCUACUGCUUGAUAUUGACAAGAGUUUUCAAAAAUUAGCAUGUGAAGGCCAUGUUACUUUUGCCUCCAAAGCCGCCGGUGAAGACACAAAAAUCCAUAUUCAACCACAUAAAUCAUCUGAUGAACCAACCUGCCAACGCUAACAGCAACUAAAUUAAGCAAGCAACAUUACUCAAAAAUCAGUAGUAAUUCCUGCCUACCAAUAAUACUCGCGUUGCGGUUAAGCUGUGCCUUCAGAUUGUGCUUUGCUCAGUCGGAUAAAACACACAACAAUGAAUUACGUAUUUCUUAGAGUGAUACUCUCUUUAUCAACCAGCUAAACGUAGCCCAAAAUACCACCCUCAGGGCAAUCCCGUAAGGUAUAAGGAUCGAAUCGAGAGCUGUCCGCAAAAAGUUAAUAAAUGACAAAUAGAUGAUAAAUUGAACUGAUGAUAAAUUAUGCGGACAUCGGAUUCUUUACACAACUGUAGAAGCAUACGUUAUUGCUUUCCUUCAUAGAGGAAGGAGAAAGGCAAAAGAAAAGAAAGGAAAGGGAAAAAAGGGAGCUUAAAAAGCCACAUGUAGGACAAGGGAGUGACCUGCUGAUCUUUCAUGAGUGUACAAAUUUUUUAAUUGAUUCGGACACUUCACAUCCAAUUAUCGGGAGAGCCAUUUAUUUAUGUAGGAAACGAAUAGCAAAGGGCCAAUGGGGCUUUAACUCCGCAUGUGUUCCCAGCUUCAAAUGAAAGGACAGCCAGGAACUUUUCACAGCUGAAGAAAAAGAAGUUUGUUUUUGGGCAAUCGCGUACGCCAAAAGCAUCGUAACCCAAAAAUGGAGUCCCAGCACACAGCAAACCAUCUAUACAACUAGUAAUUGCCAAACUGCAAGCCCGUCAAUUGACUAUAAGACAAAGGGAUCUCAUCAAAGGAUGGAAAUAGGAAGUUUAACUUCACUAAAAGAUAGCAGCACAGAAACUAGACAAACCACUGAUAAUCUUAUUUACAGGCAAAUCCGGUGUUGUAUUAACAUCUAUUGCAGUUAGACAAGACUUGAUGCAACUCGUACAGAAUAAUACAGCGAUCCCUAAACCUACCAGCCUAAGGAACAGCAAAGAGAAAAAGAAUAAAAAGACACUGCCUGCAAGAGAACUAGGAAAGACAAAGGUGGCAAGCUACCUAGAUAAUGAGUCAGUUCAAAUGUACAAUG